UAGAAGGUCCAUGACCACCCUAGCGCCCCCUUAAUUCAAACACUCGGGAAAAUCCGCUCCGUUAGGAAAAUGCCAUCUGUGCUUUAAAAUGAAGGGGUGAGUGGUGGACAUAGCCAUUGGUUGCAAUUCGCAAUCUCACUGCCUGAUCCUGCUAAAAUCUACACAGUGCACCUUUAAGUCUAGUCCCAGACUAAAAGCACAUUUGAGAUAUCCUAAUUUAACUAGGAUCCUGGUUUCAGCUAAGCAUGUCUGUGAAAGCAUGGGUCAUGUUUAAGUGGACUGUAAGUCCUGCAUUUACUGUUUUAAAGCACUCAACUGAUAAAUAAUUGAAUUAUCAUAAACACAAAUGGACACAAUGGUCUGUCUUCUGUUUCUUCUUGUUAAUGGACUAGGAUGGACCAGACCAUCGAUAAUGAUGCCAUUAAAAUAGAGGGCAAUAAGCUGUACUUCUUGAAACUGACAUCUGAUCUCAGUGGUUUGUAUCUCUGUGAAGCCUCUAACCAGUAUGGUACAGCAACUGGCACACUCUACUGGCAGAAAGGAUACCUCCAUUCGGAGCUUUGAUAAUUUCAUCUUGAAUUCACUUUCAUCUUCUCUCAAAGCCAUAUGACAAAUGUUAAAGCACAAUUAAAUUAUAUUACUAUGAGUGAAAAUGAA